rnacentral:rRNA from 1 species
UGCGUAGGCGGAAUAUUAAGUCAGUGGUGAAAUCCUGCGGCUCAACCGUAGAACUGCCAUUGAUACUGAUAUUCUUGAAUGUAGUUGAGGUAGGCGGAAUGUGUAAUGUAGCGGUGAAAUGCUUAGACAUUACACAGAACACCGAUUGCGAAGGCAGCUUACUAAACUGUUAUUGACGCUGAGGUACGAAAGCGUGGGGAGCGAACAGGAUUAGAUACCCUGGUAGUCC